rnacentral:rRNA from 1 species
UCCACCUCUUCCCAUUCCGAACAGAGAAGUUAAGCCCACCCACGCCGAUGGUACUGCGUAUAGUGGGAGAGUAGGUAGCCGCCGUUU